rnacentral:rRNA from 1 species
UACGUAGGGUGCGAGCGUUCAUCGGAAUUACUGGGCGUAAAGCGUGCGCAGGCGGUUUUGUAAGCCAGAUGUGAAAUCCCCGGGCUUAACCUGGGAAUGGCAUUUGGGACUGCAAGGCUCGAGUGCGGCAGAGGAGACUGGAAUUCCUGGUGUAGCAGUGAAAUGCGUAGAUAUCAGGAGGAACACCGAUGGCGAAGGCAGGUCUCUGGGCUGACACUGACGCUCAUGCACGAAAGCGUGGGGAGCAAACAGG